rnacentral:rRNA from 1 species
AGUGAACGCUGGCGGUAGGCCUAACACAUGCAAGUCGAACGGCAGCACAGUAAGAGCUUGCUCUUACGGGUGGCGAGUGGCGGACGAGUGAGGAAUACAUCGGAAUCUACUUUUUCGUGGGGGAUAACGUAGGGAAACUUACGCUAAUACCGCAUACGACCUACGGGUGAAAGCAGGGGAUCUUCGGACCUUGCGCGAUUGAAUGAGCCGAUGUCGGAUUAGUUAGUUGGCGGGGUAAAGGCCCACCAAGGCGACGAUCCGUAGCUGGUCUGAGAGGAUGAUCAGCCACACUGGAACUGAGACACGGUCCAGACUCCUACGGGAGGCAGCAGUGGGGAAUAUUGGACAAUGGGCGCAAGCCUGAUCCAGCCAUACCGCGUGGGUGAAGAAGGCCUUCGGGUUGUAAAGCCCUUUUGUUGGGAAAGAAAAGCAGCAGGUUAAUACCCCGCUGUUCUGACGGUACCCAAAGAAUAAGCACCGGCUAACUUCGUG